GGAUGUGUUCAGUAUUUUACGGACUGGAUAUGGCCGAACUGCCUGUUUUGUGUGUUUGCCUAAAGCAUUUGACUUGAUCUACGACAAUGAUGAUGACUCCAAGUCAAUAAUAAUAGUAAUCAGCCCAUUGACUGCUUUAAUUAAGGAUCAAGCUAAAUCACUAAGGCGUAGAAAUGUUAGUGUAGAAUAUAUUGUUGCAAAUAAGGAAAAGGAGGUGAUGGAUGAAAGGAAAAUUUAGUAUUGUUGUAAUGAGUCCAGAGACGCUGAUGGGAAAGUGGAGGAGAGUAUUUGUAUCAAACAAAAUUUAUCAAAGAAGGCUCAUUGGACUUGUAGGUGAUGAAUCACAUUUUGUUGUAUUAAGUCUUUAUGCUUGACUUAAUUCUAAAUUAUUAUUUUUAUUUCAAAUUGCAGGGGAUUGAGCUUUUGAGACUGUUUUGCCAUAAUAGGAGAAAUGAGGAGAUUAAUAGAGAGAAACAUGAGAAUAAUGGCAUUGACAGCUACUGCAACAAAUGAGCUAUAUGAAAAAGUUUCAGCACUGUUGUGCAUGAUAAAUCCUGAUGUCAUUGCUUUAUCUCCAGAUAAAGCUAAGGUUUGAUAUGCUGUGCAUGGAGUUCGAGGAGACUAUAAUGUGGCAUUUCGCCUUAUAUUGAAAGAGAUUGUAACUAAAUAUACACUCUUACCAGGGAUUUAUUAUACUCACGUACCGGGAUGGGUAACGGGAUCACGUGAGCGCAUUAUUUCUUAAUAAAAAGUUUUCGCAAUGUGUGUUAUCAUUUUAAAGAUGGCCGCCGCUUUUCUCAAAAGACGGAUGUUUCUGUUUCUUAACUGCAGGGCUCUCUAAUGGUCUAUAAAAAUUAACAUACCUUAAAAGAAUUAAAAGCAUCUCGUCAAGUCUUCUAAACUAAAGAUUCAAGCGAAAACUGUUGAUUUUGAUGACUAUUUUUGUGUACCUCUAACAACUUCAGACUUAAUUCUAUAAUUCUAUUUGUUUGUAUAAGUAUAGCAGUAUAAUUAAUUUAACUAAUAGUAGUGUUUAAUAAUAGUUUAUAUUUGAUGUUUAUUUUAUACAUAAUUUUAUGUCUUGCUAAUCUCACCUCGCCAUUCUCAUUUGAGUCACGUGAUCAUUAAUUUUGCCAUGGUAACGGUCGUACUUUGGAUGAGACGCAUAGUGGUAGUACUGCAACUCUGCUAGAAAUAAGUAGCAAUCAAUAGGUAUUAUAAUGCCGCGAAAAUUCAGAUAUUCUUUGCCCAAAAACAUUGCAAGAACUAAGAACUUGACCAGGCCUCAGCAGCUAACAAUUUCAAUCCCCAUUGAAAAUUAUGAAUGUGCCCCAGCAACCUCUUUGCAGGUGUUGAAGCAGAAAUCGAAAAGAAUACUAUUGCAGAAUGGCUGGCAAGAUAUAUCUAAUUCAGAUGAGAGCAUGAUCUUUGCACUUUUAGAAAAUAAUGCAACUUCAGGUCCAAAUGUAGCAAUGUCUAUAACAAUAAAUGAAAGUUUCAAUUGGUUACUUCAUGUUAAUGGAAGACUAUUAAGUAAAGAAGCUGAAUGUCUGUCCCCUGAU